rnacentral:misc_RNA from 1 species
ACAAAUUCAUUGCUUUCACGAGCUCUGAGUUAAACCCAUCUGUGUAUGUUACCUGUUGCUUCCGGGCCGUCAGCCCCACGGCGGACGGCCCGUGAGGACUUCAAACUCUUGUUUUACAGUGUCGUUUGUCUGAAUCAAAAGAAAUCAAAUCGUUA